AGUGAACGCUGGCGGUAGGCCUAACACAUGCAAGUCGAGCGGAAGCACAGUAAGAGCGUGCCCUUACGGUUGGCGAGUGGCGGACGGGUGAGGAAUAGAUAGGAAUCUACUUUUUCGGGGGGGAUUACGUAGAGAAAGUUAUGCUACUACCUCAUACUAUCUACGGGUGGAAUCAGGAGAGCUUCGCACCUUUGCCGUCUGAUAUAGCCGAUGUCGGAUUAGCUAGUUGGCUUGGUAAAGGCACACCAAGGCAACGAUGCGUAGCAGAUCUGAGAGGAUGAUCAGCCACACUGGAACUGAGACACGGUCCAGACUCCUACGGGAGGCAGCAGUGGGGAAUAUUGGACAAUGGGCGCAAGCCUGAUCGAGCCAUGCCGCGUGGGUGAAGAAGGCCUUCGGGUUGUAAAGCCCUGUUAUUAGGGAAGAAAAGCUGUAUAUUAAUACGUCGAUGUCCUGACGGUACCUAAACAAAAAGCACCGGCUAACUUCGUG
rnacentral:rRNA from 1 species